GACAAAUGUUUGUUUUUAUGGUCUAUAGAUGCAUUCGGCAACUUGAGUUCAGUGUCAAAGUGCUGUUUUUUUCAGUCCAAAGAGCCCGAAGCUGGUAAGACUGGCGAUUGAUCCUAAAGCUGAUUUGACAGACGAUUGCAUCAUCACAAUAUUGAAGGUUCAAUAUACAGUCAGCCUCUCAUAAGAUAAAGAACAAAUCCCAAGAUCCAAGGCUUGCUUUAAAGUUAAGAGACUAUUCUGUGCCACAAAGAAAUUGUUCAGGAAGAGGAGAAGUGGUGGAUAUUCAUUUUUGGUAUGGUACAGUUCAAAGAGAUUUUCAAAAUUGUCAUGGAAGAUCAAAGGGAGGACAACUGAAAAAAUUGAAAGAUACAGAAGGAAAAAGAACAAGGAAAUAUAUGGAAUAAUUAUGAAAUGGGGAGGAUGUACACAAUCUUGUCUGAAUUUGAGCUGUGAAAAUUUCCCAUAUUCUUAUUGUAUGCUGGAAUAAUCAAUAACUUGAUUUUUCAUAAAUUUACAAAUAGAGAAUACAUGACAAAUGUUAUUGCUGAUAUUUCAAUUUUGCUUUGGACACUUUCAUGUCAUAUGGUAUUUUUAUACAUGAACUAAUUAUGUUAUUCAUUUGUACAUGUACAGUAUACAUGUUUAACUACUAAAUCAUUUUGCUGAAAUCUUAUAAUUUGUACUCAUGUUAGAAUAUGUUUAAUACAUGUAUCGACAAAUGCUACUGACUUGUUUGUAUAUUUUCUUGUUUAGAAUGUACACUGUGAAAAAUAAGUUAUUUCUCUUGAUGAAAAUAAUUUUAUCAAAAAAGUUGUGAAAGCAUUUUAAGAUAUUUUAAAAUAUUUAACCAAUGAAGAUAGAUCAUUGUAAUGUAAUGAAUUUUCAUCUAAAGCAGAAAUAUCUGAUUUUUAAAUGUGUACAAGAAUGUGAAAAAUAUUGAAAAAGAACACACAAGUGUUUCAUAUGAUUUACAUAUGAUGUCCUUUUCAUAUGAUUCUCAUAUGUAAAUGGCUUGAAACACACAUAAGUGUUUCAUAUGAUUUACAUAUGACGCCCUUUUCAUAUGAUUCUCAUAUGUAAAUGGCUUGAAACACACUGAAAUCAUUCAUAUGCAAAUCAUAUGUAGUUAUUUUCAUAUGAUUCACAUAUGUGGAUCAUAUGUAAAUCAUAUGAUUUGCUUCAUAUGAUUCACAUAUGAUGCCCUUUUUCUAUGAUUCUCAUAUGAAACCAAUCAUAUGAGAAUCAUAUGAUACUCAUAUGAGAAUCAUAUGUGGCUAAGUUGCCU